UGAUAUGUUUGAUAUUUGGUUU
rnacentral:miRNA from 1 species